UUUCUUCUCUCUUUCUUUUUCUCAAGGCUUUAUUUCAAAAUAAGAUGAUUUAUUCAGGUUUUGGUUGCAUUCAGUGUUGUAUCAACGAUACAACAUUUGGUUCCACAGAAAAGAGACACUGAGGAGAUGGGGGACGCGAUGAAAUCCUUGGAGAACAGAACUUUGGAUUCUAAAAAAGAAAUGGACAUUAUAGCUGCACUUGAUGAAAUGAAAUCAAUGAAGUCUAGACAUACCAUUGUGAGUGUAGUUUGCAUUCAGUGUUGUAUCAACGAUACAUGUUUAAGGGGGACUUAGGAUUUAGGAAUAUAACAAAAAAGCCAACUGCUCUCAGUGGGAGUAAUAUUAAUCAUACAGAAGUCUAAUUACUUAUAGAAGUUUCCUCAUACACUCUAUUGUGAUUCGACUUUGUAAAGCUAUUUUAAUUACGUGUUUUGAAUUAAAACUGAUGUUUUUUGUUUUUA